UUACUCCGAACCAUCACUUUAAAGUUUAUAAUGAAUUGAUUUGGACUAGUAUCCAUCUUCGUUUAGUGAUGUUACACGCUGUAGUGUGUGACCUGCUUGAAAUAUCAAUCAGUAAUCCCUUCAACUACAGUAUGACUAUUGGUAAAACAGGAAAUAUGAUUGAUGUAGUACGGUUCCAGCCUGUGAAAUCUGUUACCAUCGUUGUGUCUCUUAUGUUUCAAGGCAUUACAUUCAGUUGCACACUACUUCAGCUACAGAGAAACAGCAUUUUGAAUGGGUUGGCCUGGUGGAGUCUAAAAUCAGACUCCUGGUGGGAAACAUGGAGAGAAAUGUGCACGAUUCCCUGGGUCACAUUCACUUCAGUCCUUCCCUGGAUCCAGAUCCAAAGAGCGAAUGAGCACAAGGUGGCGGACUGGACUUGUCUUUAAUACGGAGGGCUCUAAAAACCUAAAAAUAGACUUGACCUUGGAACUCCUGUCCUUCAGUGAUGCUAUCUACAGUCUGGCAGACAGCUUUAAGAUAUAUGCAGAGGGGAUGACCAUAUCAGCCACCUACGUGACCGGGGACAAUGUCAGCUGGGAGAUGCCUAAUGCAGAAUGCGAAAAGGGUCUUCAGUCCGAAACCGAAGCCCACAGUGAGCCGUCAAAUCUCUGCCACACUACCAGAUAGUCACACGCUAUACCAGCCAAGGCCAAAGCUGACAAGAUAAGCUAAACCAGUUUUUGGAUGUGAAAAUGUCUUAACUAUUGCUUUAACCAUGCCAAGUACUUGUGGUAAGAUGUGAAUAAAAAUGAAUCAACCAACCAAGCCCAUGCUACAGUUGUCACACAAAAAAACAAAAAAUAUUCCUUCUUCUGUACAGGAAUCAGUGUCUGUGACUAACGGCUCAUCUGUCCAAGCGUCCACACCCAGCAAAGCUGCUUCCCCCUCCAUGAGUCCACGGGGCCACAAAGAGACCUGGUUCUCCCCAAUCUGAA